AAAAGGAAAAGAAAAUAAAGCAUUGUAAUAUAAACAAAGGCAGUCUGGACUAAGACAAGCACAGGCCAUGGCAGCUGUGCAGAUGAAGGCUGACUGCAAGCUAACACAAGAAGACUAUGAUUUGGAAGUUGCAAUGGAGAUAUUAGAAGAAACACCUAGAUACUUCACUAGAAGUGCUGCAAAAAUGACAGCAUAAAUUGUGCAAUUUCACAACCCUCCAACUCCCCCCAACCGCAAAAAAAAAAAAACUACAAGCAUUUAACGG
rnacentral:lncRNA from 1 species